AGUUACCGCUCUAUAACCCUUUGUGAACAUACCUAUAACUGUUGCUUCGGCGGGUAGGGUCUCCGUGACCCUCCCGGCCUCCCGCCCCCGGGCGGGUCGGCGCCCGCCGGAGGAUAACCAAACUCUGAUUUAACGACGUUUCUUCUGAGUGGUACAAGCAAAUUAAUCAAAACUUUUAACAACGGAUCUCUUGGUUCUGGCAUCGAUGAAGAACGCAGCGAAAUGCGAUAAGUAAUGUGAAUUGCAGAAUUCAGUGAAUCAUCGAAUCUUUGAACGCACAUUGCGCCCGCCAGCAUUCUGGCGGGCAUGCCUGUUCGAGCGUCAUUUCAACCCUCAAGCUCUGCUUGGUGUUGGGGCCCUACAGCUGAUGUAGGCCCUCAAAGGUAGUGGCGGACCCUCCCGGAGCCUCCUUUGCGUAGUAACUUUACGUCUCGCACUGGGAUCCGGAGGGACUCUUGCCGUAAAACCCCCAAUUUUCCAAAGGUUGACCUCGGAUCAGGUAGGAAUACCCGCUGAACUUAA
rnacentral:rRNA from 1 species